rnacentral:misc_RNA from 1 species
GAUGAAGAACGCAGCGAAAUGCGAUAAGUAAUGUGAAUUGCAGAAUUCAGUGAAUCAUCGAGUCUUUGAACGCACAUUGCGCCCCCUGGUAUUCCGGGGGGCAUGCCUGUCCGAGCGUCAUUGCCGCCCUCAAGCACGGCUUGUGUGUUGGGCCCCCGCCCCCCGGCUUCGGGGGGCGGGCCCGAAAGGCAGCGGCGGCACCGCGUCCGGUCCUCGAGCGUAUGGGGCUUCGUCACCCGCUCUGUAGGCCCGGCCGGCGCCCGCCGGCGACCCCAAUCAAUCUUUCCAGGUUGACCUCGGAUCAGGUAGGGAUACCCGCUGAACUUAAGCAUAUCAAUAAGCGGAGA